rnacentral:rRNA from 1 species
CACGUAGGGGGCAAGCGUUGUCCGGAUUUAUUGGGCGUAAAGAGCUCGUAGGCGGUUCGGUAAGUCGGGUGUGAAACCUCCAGGCUCAACCUGGAGACGCCACCCGAUACUGCUGUGGCUUGAGUCCGGUAGGGGAGCGUGGAAUUCCUGGUGUAGCGGUGAAAUGCGCAGAUAUCAGGAGGAACACCAGCGGCGAAGGCGGCGCUCUGGGCCGGAACUGACGCUGAGGAGCGAAAGCGUGGGUAGCAAACAGG